rnacentral:rRNA from 1 species
AACCUACCCUUCAGAGGGGAAUAACUGGGGGAAACUCCAGCUAAUGCCCCAUACGAUCCAACGGCGAUGGCUGUUGGAUGAAAGGAGCGUUUGCUUCGCUGAAGGAGGGGCCUGCGUCCCAUCAGGUAGUUGGUGAGGUAACGGCUCACCAAGCCUACGACGGGUAGCCGACCUGAGAGGGUGGCCGGCCACAAGGGCACUGAGACACGGGCCCUACUCCUACGGGAGGCAGCAGUGGGGAAUUUUGGACAAUGGGCGAAAGCCUGAUCCAGCAACGCCGCGUGGGGGACGAAGCCCUUCGGGGUGUAAACCCCUGUUGUGAGGGACGAAUAAGACCUGGAGGAAAUGUCAGGUCGAUGACGGUACCUCACGAGAAAGCCCCGGCUAACUACGUGCCAGCAGCCGCGGUAAUACGUAGGGGGCGAGCGUUACCCGGAUUCACUGGGCGUAAAGGGGGCGUAGGCGACUUGGUGUGUCGCGUGUGAAAUCCCAUGGCUCAACCACGGAAUUGCGCGCGAAACUACUGAGUUUGGGGCCGGUAGAGGGAGAUGGAACUGCUGGUGUAGGGGUGAAGUCCGUAGAUAUCAGCAGGAACGCCGGUGGGGAAGCCGGUCUCCUGGGCCGUGCCCGACGCUGAGGCCCGAAAGCUAGGGGAGCA